UUACGGCCAUAUCACAUUGAAACACCGGUUCCCAUAUGAUCGCUGAAGUUAAGCAAGUGGUGCCUGAUUAGUACUUAGAUGGGUGACUGCUUGGGAAUACCAGGUGCUGUAG